rnacentral:rRNA from 1 species
CGUGUAGGCGGGCCAGUAAGUCAGAAGUGAAAUCCCCGGGCUUAACCCGGGAACUGCUUCUGAAACUGCAGGUCUUGAGUACUGGAGAGGAAAGUGGAAUUCCUAGUGUAGCGGUGAAAUGCGUAGAUAUUAGGAGGAACACCAGUGGCGAAGGCGACUUUCUGGACAGAAACUGACGCUGAGGCGCGAAGGCGUGGGGAGCAAACAGGAUUAGAUACCCUGGUAGUCC